AUGUCCGUGGCGGCGGGGGUCAGCGAUGCGGCCAUCGCGGUGCGCGACAAGCUCCGGGGCAAGAUCGGCCAGACCAAGGUGAAGCGCUACUGGCCCGGGAAGAAGCCCGAGUGGGCCGAUGAGGCCGAGGACGACAUCGACCUCCGGGCGGCCAGGGUCUCCCUCGACGAGGCCUUCCCCAAGGCCGAGGAAGGGGACCGGGACCGGGACCGGCCCCCCAAGGACGACCGGCGGCUCCGGCGGCUCGCGGAGACGCGCGCGGAGAACAAGGAGGAGCUCCGGGCCGACCACCGCCGCAUCCGGCAGGCUGAGAUCGUGUCCACCGCUGAGGAGGAGCGGGACAGGCAAGAGGCCCAGGUGGAGGAGGAGGACGACGAGGACGCGCAGGAGGAGCGGCGGCGGAGGAUCAAGGAGCGGCAGCGCCUCAGGGCGCAGGAGGAGGAGGAGCUGCUCCCGCAGGAGGAGGAGCCGCUCGAGGAUGACGUGCAGGAGUCGGAGGAGUCCGAGUACGAGACCGACUCGGAGGAUGAGCAGAUGGGCAUGGCCAUGGUGAAGCCCGUCUUCAUCCCCAAGGCGCAGCGGGACACCAUCGCCGAGCGCGAGCGGCUGGAGGAGGAGGAGCGGCAGGUGGAGGAGACCAUCAGGAAGAGGCUCGAGGCUAGGAAGAUCGAGACCAGGCAGAUUGUGGUGGAGGAGAUUAGGAAGGAUGAGCACAUUCAGAAGGCGCUCAACGAGGAUGCUAGCGUCGAGGAUGUCGACACGGAUGAUGAGCAGAACGAAGCUGAGGAGUACGAGUCAUGGAAGAAUCGUGAGAUGGCGCGGAUUAAGAGGGACAGGGAGGAAAGGUAUGCACGGUUGAAGGAGAAGGAAGAGAUUGACAAGGUGAGGAAUAUGACUGAGGAGGAGCGCCGGGAAUGGGAGAAGAAGAACCCCAAACCUUCUCUCCAGAAGUCCAAACAGAAGUGGAACUUUAUGCAGAAGUACUACCACAAGGGUGCCUUCUUCCAGGAAGGCGGUGAUGACGUGAGCCAGUCAGCUGGUAGAGAUGCUAUAUACACCCGUGAUUUCUCUGCGCCCACCGGUGAAGAUAAGAUGGACAAGAGCAUCUUGCCUAAGGUCAUGCAAGUCAAGCAUUUCGGGCGGAGUGGCAGAACAAAGUGGACACAUCUUGUUAAUGAGGACACUACCGACUGGGAUGCACCAUGGGCUACAAACGGGCCGCUGCGAACAAAAUAUAAUGCAAAAAUGGCGGGCAUGAAUGCACCUAUUGCUAAACCAAAGGGAAGUAAGAAGAUGAAGGAUUGGGAUACGAAACGAGAUGAUUAA
rnacentral:rRNA from 1 species